AUGAAAAGCACUUUGAAAAGAGGGUGAAAAGAACCUGAAACCGUCACGGGGGAAGCGGAUUGCGUUGGCCUGGUGGGCGCUUGUGUGUUCAGCCUUUAUUAUUAAUUUAAUUUGGGUGUAUUGGCAUAGGUGCUUAUCCGCCGUGGGUUUUCGGGGGCCGAUUUUGGGUCCCUGGAGGCUGAGGGCUCCCUUCGGGUGAGGACGGCGGAGUGACGACGCGAUACGACCCGUCUUGAAACACGGACCAAGGAGUCUAGCGCGGGUGCGAGUCGGAGGGUGCAAGCCCGUGGGCGAAGUGAAAGCGAGUGUAAAAACGAGCAGUUUGGGGCGGCAUAAGAUCGUUGAUCUUAAGACCGACCCAGAGCAGUUGCGCUGGGACCCGAAAGAUGGUGAACUAUGCCGGAGUAGGGCAAAGCCAGAGGAAACUCUGGUGGAGGCUCGUAGCGGUGCUGACGUGCAAAUCGCUCGUCCAACUUGGGUAUAGGGGCGAAAGACUAAUCGAACCAUCUAGUAGCUGGUUCCCUCCGAAGUUUCUCUCAGGAUAGCGGGCCGACAAGUUGUUUUGUGC
rnacentral:rRNA from 1 species